rnacentral:rRNA from 1 species
AGAGUUGAUCAUGGCUCAGGAUGAACGCUAGCGACAGGCUAACACAUGCAAGUCGAGGGGCAGCAUAAAAGUAGCAAUACUUGGUGGCGACCGGCGCACGGGUGAGUAACGCGUAUGCAACCUACCUAUCGAGAGGGGAAUAACCCGGCGAAAGUCGGACUAAUACCGCAUAAAACAGGGGCACCGCAUGGUGAUAUUUGUUAAAGAAAUUCGCUGAUAGAUGGGCAUGCGUUCCAUUAGGUAGUUGGUGAGGUAACGGCUCACCAAGCCGACGAUGGAUAGGGGAACUGAGAGGUUGGUCCCCCACACUGGUACUGAGACACGGACCAGACUCCUACGGGAGGCAGCAGUGAGGAAUAUUGGUCAAUGGGCGAGAGCCUGAACCAGCCAAGUCGCGUGAAGGAAGAAGGAUCUAUGGUUCGUAAACUUCUUUUGCAGGGGAAUAAAGUGCAGGACGUGUCCUGUUUUGUAUGUACCCUGAGAAUAAGGAUCGGCUAACUCCGUGCCAGCAGCCGC